UACGGAGGGUGCAAGCGUUGUUCGGAUUUAUUGGGCGUAAAGCGCGUGUAGGCGGUUUCUUAAGUCUGAUGUGAAAGCCCUGGGCUCAGCCCAGGAAGUGCAUUGGAUACUGGGAGACUUGAAUACGGGAGAGGGUAGUGGAAUUCCUAGUGUAGGAGUGAAAUCCGUAGAUAUUAGGAGGAACACCGGUGGCGAAGGCGGCUACCUGGACCGAUAUUGACGCUGAGACGCGAAAGCGUGGGGAGCAAACAGG
rnacentral:rRNA from 1 species